AAUAAAAAAGCGAUACACGCAAUCAGUUUCGACCUGAUCCUUGGUAAAUUAUGCCUUUUAUUA
rnacentral:tRNA from 1 species